GCUAGAUUGGCAGGGCACGAUCUAUAGGUACAAGCAUCAUUAAAGAUUUUUGAUGGUGUGGAUCUACCCUUAAAUGUAUAAUGAUACAGGUAAUAGAUUCAUAAUCCAAUACAUGGAUUGAAAGGGUGAAUAUUA